CUUUUGGCCCACCUCCCCCGCUCGUCGUCUUCUUCCUCCGACGACGCUCUCUCCCUCCUGAAAGCCCUAAAAUUCUCCGGCGACGUCCUCUCUCUCUCCGAUCGAAUCCCUCGAUCCCAAGCGCUAACGCUCUUCUUCGCUCUCGGAGCGGAGGAUUAUUGCAUCGCGAGUGGGGUUAAAACCUGGCUCCGAUCGCCUUCAUUCAUUGAGGUUUUUGGAGAUUCUUCCUUUGAUUGAGGAGUUUCUAUCGUUCCCCCUUUCAAAUUUGUUUUAUAUCUCAUAAUUUUAUUAAAGUUCUUGUUAUUUAGUAAUUAAGGUAUACUGAACGCCUAAUUUAGAAGCAAGGAAGUGGAGUUAAUGCAGAGUAAAAACCUGAUUCACUUUGGGAGUUUGGUGAGCAUUGGUGAUUCUCGGAUUUGUUGUAGCUGAAUCUGAUUGUGAACUUAGCCUCUUUUGUCGCAGGCGGUUCCUUCCCUUAGUUGAUUAAAUUUGGAUCGCAACAUCGACUUUUCAUGUCUGUUUGAGAUAUCUAAUUAUUUAUGGAUUUGUCCGUAUGUUAUCCGCAAUGCAAAAUCUCUUGUCGGGACAUGAUUAGAUAUAUGGGCUUUAAACUUUGAGAAUUAAUACAGAGUUCUAAAACAUGAUUUAGAUGGAUCUGGCAGUUUCUGGUAGCAUUGUGGUCUUCCAAGUGCUUUGCAUGUUAUUGGGUAGAUGAGAUGAUUUUGAGAACUCUUUUGGUCCCUUCAGGCAUAAUUCCUCUGUCUCUUUUGAAUACGAUGCAUCUAAUAAGCUAGGCAUGUAGCAUUAUGUGUCUGAUGAUAUGUGAUUUGUUUUCUGGCACAGCAACUUACAAUGACCUUCAAAUAUCAACUAAUGAUAUAUGAUUCCUCUGUCCUUACGAGUACGAUGUGUCUAACCUAGGAAUUUAGCAUUAUGCAUCUGAUGAUGUAUGAUUUGCUUCAUCGGGUGGCAACUUACAAUGACCUUCAAAUAUCGACUAAUGAGAACGAACAAAUCGAUGCCUGCCAUUUUUUACCUUAUCAUGAUUUAUGGAGUUGAAGAUCGUUCUAACAACAGGGAAGGAGUUCCAAUUAACCAAAUGAAGUUGAAAAAGACAAUGAUUGAGAUCAUCUCAUCCGUGCAGCCUGAUUCCUUACCAGCAAACCUCCAUCUAAUUUCUUACAAUGUACCUCUAUUUGAAUAAAUUUUGUUGCUAAAUAAUUUGGGAACAAUAUUCUUGAGUUAUAUGAAGGAUCCAUUCUUUACAGUGAAAAAGUUCCAGACCCAGUCUCUGAAUUUAGCCUAAUUUGAGAUCGGCCCCUGAACUUGGAAACAACGUAAAAUAACCUGAACAUUCUAUAUUUAGUUGCUUGUAACCGUCAAAUGGUGAUAUUUUGUCAAAAUUAAAAUCAUAUUUAUCAGGUUGUUUAUGAAAUUUUUUUAAUGUUCAGGUAGUUUAUGACAUUUUCUUUACAUUGACUCUAUGCUGUAUGAAUAAUCUUCUUCUUCAUCUAGAACAUAGAUAAAGCUGUCUACUCCCAGCAAUACAGUUAGCCUCUUUCUUAGAUGGUGAGUAAUAUAGUAGUCAUUGGACACUAAUUUUUUUUUAUUAUUUUGUGAAUCUUAAGGACUUCGUAAUUUCUUUUCAUACGCAAAUAAUUUUUUAUCCUUUUUAUAUGCAAAUGAUUUUUCAUUUCCAUUAUAUGGAUUUGAGGGAUGUUGAAUUUUUUUUUAAGUGUUUAUUUCUGCCUGUCCAAGCAAAUACUUAGUAAAGUAUAUUACUGCAUUAAUUUCCUUUCUAAUUUUGACUGAGAAAAAAAAAAAAGAGGAUUAUCUUCUGUUCCCAGCUAGUAGUUAGAUGCAAAACUUGGGAUACCUUUUUUUUCUUGACAUAUGAGUGGAAGAGGCAAAACUAAACAACAACAUCCAUGAUAAAUUUUUAGUCUUUCUGGAGGCAUGCAAACUAGAUAGUAGCUGCAGCAGGCUGAUGUUUACUUGUGUUUACUAAGUUGAAACAAAUUCAGAAGUAUGCAGCUCCAAAUAGAAGAUUGUUUUCACUAGACGCUGAACAUUUACUUUCAUUCUAUGGCACCGCAACUACAUGCUGCCAAUGUUUAUAUUCCUAAUUGUCGUAUAAUUUGGAGCAUUUUUAUGUUAAAAAUUGAAUGUGUACGUCAUGUCUCUUAUUAAUUGAAUGUCACAUCAAUGGUCAUUCUUAUUUUCCGGACGACUUUAUGCAAUGAGUAGAUGCAACCUCAUCUUGUACCUCUGAUCUUAGCGGAAAGAAACAACUUUUGUUACAUCUGUAUAUCGAUGUCCGACUUGUCAGAUUUGCAGGAGGCUAACAUGCUGCUGUUUGACAAUUCUGUGACAAACUGCAUUUACGUGUGUAAUUGUUGAGUCAUACUGUUGGGAAAAAUGAUAGCUAGCUCGUGCACUUCCAUUUAUUGCUUAACUAGUGAACUUUGGUGUAAAACAGCAAUGUAGGAAUUUGCUCGAAGGAUGUCUUAACUGAAGUUUCUGCGGCCACAACCUGCAAAUGCUGCUCGAGGAUGAUUUUGGUGUCCCAAUUUCUUUGGCCUAGCCGGAGCUGCAAAAAGACUUUUUGAGCGGAGCUAUUCCAAAGAUGCCCUGACAGCUUUUUCAUGAUACAUUCCCACUAUCCUCCUGUUUAACUUGAAUUGAAAACUUUAAGUCGGUGCAUACGCUUUGGGGUGCCUAGAUUGUCGUUUCUGCCUUCUGCGUAGCUAGAAGUUUUAUAUUUUAAUUUGCAAAACAGCAUCUGGCUUCUGCUGUCCUAAUAGAGAAGCUAUUCUAGAAGACUGUCACUAAAGCCUGUCAUAGCUGGAUGGCAGUGAGAAUCCGAUGCUGAUAUUGCGAAACUGCAAUUACAGGUUCUACUGCAGCUGUACUAAUUCUUGUUCUCGUCCUAAACUAAUUCCUUGGAUUACCAUGAGGUGUGGUGUCGGUCUUUUUGGUGAAAUGGAAGCUAUUAGGGAGGAAUUCUACACUGUCACACUUGCACCAUAUCAUCAAUAACAAGCCAAUCAUAUUUCUUCUUUUCAAACAAAAGUACAAUAAAAAUAUUUUUUUAUAAUCAUGAUGGGACAUAUACUCCUAAAAGGAGACAUUUGAUUGGUUUGUUACGCCACGUCACCAAUAUACCCGUUGCAUUCUAGAAUUUUUCGCUAUUAGGUGGUAGGUGGCUUUUGUCCUGGUGGGACUGCUCGUGGACAUGACGGUACAAAAUUAUCUCAGAAACAAGGCACAUCCCAUCAAUCUUCUUCAUUAGACCUACAAGGCCACUGCAUUGGAGCAAAGAUUAAGUGGGCUCACGCAGGUGGAUGAACCUGCUUUACAUUUGGUACAUGCGCUUUGAUUGGAAAUUUUACCUCUGAGUUAAGGAUGAUUAUGUUGGAUUUAUAUGUUUAGUGCGAAAUAUAUUCUUGCUGAUCUGUGUGAUGUUCCCUCAUUUGUGUGUGAUCACAAUUUACAUGGCAGAAAGGCAUUUAGAUAUCAAUCUGAAAGAACUGCAAACUGCAAGUCGUGGGGCGUUUUUUUUUUUUUUUUUUUUUUUUUUUUUUUUUUAUCNUUUUGAAUUUUGAAUUUAUUUGCAGUCUAUUUGAUACCUAUUUUAUCCUUUGAUAAUGUUGACAGCUUUUACAGCAUUUAAAGGUAAACUGAUAUUUGCUGGUUAUUAGCUCAGAAAUUAAUGGUUAAAAGGUUCUGUGCCGGUGUUCCUUUCUGAAAUUGUUGUUGGUCAUAUACACUACAGCACAGAAGCAGUAAAUUAGCCGAACUAUCAUUCCUGGAAGUUUUAGAUUUUUGUUUUUUAAAUAACCUUUUUCCUGUCAUCUUGCUGUUACUAUGAGUCAGAUAGAGGAGGGACACUUUUAUGUAAUAUGCCCUUUCUCGGGUGCAAUCUAGUUUGGUUACUACUAAAUUUGUUGUCUCAUGUUCAUUUCUUAUAACCAUCUUCUCAUUUUCGUGCUACUUCUAUGCGUGCGUCGUGAGUUGUAACAUUGUGAGCUAGUUUCAAAUUGUGGAACAAAUUCGGUGAUAUAUUGUGCAGUACGAGAAGAAUAUGGUUAUGAGAUGAUUUAUCAUAUUCCGAGAAUAAUUUGGUUUAGAGUUUGUUAUGUUAAAUUGCAUAGUUGUAGACCUUUGUUUUUUCAUAUUCUACAUGGAACAAUUACUGCAUGCUUCUUGAAGGUACAAGCGAUAUUUUGAACAACAUAUCCAUGCAGCCAAACAUGCUUCAAAACAUUUGCAGGUUAGGGAUUUCGUUUCCAGCACUGUUUUGUUUUUAAUUUUCGCUCAAAGGCUUGCUCCAAAACAUUAUGUUAAAUUUUCGCUCAAAGGCUUGCUCCAAGGCCUCUGCCUGAGUGACAGGCCGGACUCGGUCAAAUGGCGUUGGACCUCCAACCAACUAUUCACAGUUAAAUCCCUUUACCAGUUCAUCACGGACGCAGGAGUCCGUGUCCCGACGGAUAAGCACAUCUGGAAGCUGAAAAUUUCCGUCAAAAUUAAGAUCUUUAUUUGGCUGCUUCUCAGAAAAAGACUUUCCACCGCCGACAAACUGCUCACCCGCGGCAUGCACGUAGACCAGAACUGUACUUUCUGCGCAGUCCUAACGGAAAGCUGCGACCACCUUUUCAGCAACUGCGUUUACGUCAGAUAUCUUCUUCUUAGUACGGGAGGAUUGGAUGCGAACGUCGGGAGGAUUGGAUGCGAACGUCAGCAGUACUGAUGACGCUUUAGGUCUCUGGGCCGAAAGUACUAAACUACCUGUCGCCACGACGAGAAACCAACGCUUGAUCAUUCUAGCUGCAACUUGGUGGGUAAUCUGGACGGAUAGAAACAAUUCUAUUUUCAAUGGAAAGUCGCCCACGGUCUCCUGGUCCCUUCAACGGCUCAAAUUACUGAUCAACACUUGGACCACUAUACUCUGAUGCCCUAUGUACCUUCCCUUUCUGUUCCACUUUUCUUUCUUUUUUCUUCUUUCUUACUCCUUUUUUCAACCUUUUGCCGCUCUCUCGGAGGCCCAAGCUGCCCCCAACUUGUAUGCUCAGUUCAUUUGACCUAAUGAAUGAAGCAGGUAGCUUGCUACA